rnacentral:tRNA from 1 species
GCAGCGUGGCUCAGUGGAAAGAGCCUGGCUUGGGAAUCAGAGGUCGUGGGUUCAAAUCCUGUCAGCUGCU